CAAACGAUAUCGAAACGUUAGUAACGUGUGUUGGCUCAUCUCCCCUUUAAAUGUAGUUUCAUCAGCGUGUCGUGAAUAACCAGAGACCAGAUCACAGAACUUCAGACUGAAACCAAGACUGAACAGCAUGAUGAUCAAGCAAAAAAGGGAAAGGGGAGAGCAGAGGAGAGAGAAAGAAGAGGAGAAAAAAGCAGAGAAAUAGAAAAAGAAGAGCCUUCCUGUUUUCAAGAUGGAUUUUAAUAAGAUAGUAUAAAAUGUUGCACCUGCAAUAACA